rnacentral:lncRNA from 1 species
AGAUUUCCCUGAACAUUGAAAGACUGCAUUCAGAAAAUCAACAUCAAGCAGAAGUUCCAGGAAUACGAGCAACUAACUGGUUAUGGUUUGCCUACAGGAAAUCAUAAUUUUAAGUCAUUUCCUUUAAAUCGUCAUUACAUGUGAAUUUAAUCAAGGAGAAAUAUUUUGAGAUGGCACUGAUCCAAAUCAGAAAGUCUGAGAUGCUGAACUGCUGAACAUUUUGAAGCUAGACUUUAUGGCCUCA